UAGGGAAUCUUCCGCAAUGGGCGAAAGCCUGACGGAGCAACGCCGCGUGAGUGAUGAAGGUCUUCGGAUCGUAAAACUCUGUUAUUAGGGAAGAACAAAUGUGUAAGUAACUAUGCACGUCUUGACGGUACCUAAUCAGAAAGCCACGGCUAACUACGUGCCAGCAGCCGCGGUAAUACGUAGGUGGCAAGCGUUAUCCGGAAUUAUUGGGCGUAAAGCGCGCGUAGGCGGUUUUUUAAGUCUGAUGUGGAAGCCCACGGCUCAACCGUGGAGGGUCAUUGGAAACUGGAAAACUUGAGUGCAGAAGAGGAAAGUGGAAUUCCAUGUGUAGCGGUGAAAUGCGCAGAGAUAUGGAGGAACACCAGUGGCGAAGGCGACUUUCUGGUCUGUAACUGACGCUGAUGUGCGAAAGCGUGGGGAUCAAACAGG
rnacentral:rRNA from 1 species